AUGGAGACUCCAAUCGCCGUAGAUCACGUGAACCUGGUGAAGAAUAUGGAAGCGCCAGCGGCCACGCUCCCAGACGAUGUCAUCCUGGAGAUCCUUGUACGCCUGGCUGAGGAGGCUUCACUCUUCCGUUGCGCGGCGACGUGCAAGCUGUGGAGGUGCCUCAUAGCCGACUCCUCCUUCCUCCGCCGCCGAUGGCCGGCCAACUCACGCCAUCCGUCCUCCCUCGUCGGGUUCCUCGCCAACAAAUGCCACAUCCAUCAGGGAAUCAUGGGGCUCCCCAUGGGACCAGCCGCCGCCCAAACCUUCGUUCCAGUUCCAGGACCGCAACCGGUGUUCGGCCGUGGCCGUCGAUCCCUCGGCUCCUUGCUCCCCCAAGCCGGCACCCUCUUCGACCGUGUGACACCGCUUGCCUCGCACGGCGGUCUCCUCCUCGUGCGCUUCGUCCCGACUCAUCACGCCUCGCGCCCGACCGUCGUCCACCUUGCCAUGUGUAACCUGCUGGCCGGCACGUGUGAGGCGCUUCCCCCACUGGAGUACAAGUCAUGCGACAACAACGAUAGGCUGGACGGCUUUGGCGUCCUAACAGGGGCCGACUUUUGCUCCACCCGGCCGCCAUUGCCGGGCUUUUCCGUCUUAUUCCGAGUGCUGCUCAUCGGCGCCAGCCCGGAUGGACGGCACUACCAUCUCUACACCUUCUCGUCUGACGAACCGAGCUGGAGCGCGCCCACCGCUUGCCUGGACCGUUGUUUGCCGGAGAGGCGCACGGCUUACCUGCUGAUGCAGAACGACGCCGCCGUGCAAAGGGGCGCAGCGCACUGGCUCUGCUGGGACUUUUCGGACGUCUACGACUUUGCGGUGGAUGCCGAGAUCGGUGAGGCCUCUCUAGCCAAGCUCCCCUUCCCCGUUGCAACACGCUUCUUCUUGGCCCCCUACCACGCACGUCAACUCCGCGUUGGCGCCGACGGAUCGCUCUUGUUUCUUCGCCUGCAUGUUCAAGGUCUGUGGAUGGAAAUAUGGACACGUCAAGACAGCGGCACGGCCUCCUCCUGGCUCUGCACGCACUUGAUCGAGAUAGAACCACCCAAGGCUGACGGAGUAGUAGAUUGCAUUUGCUUUGGGGAGAAGAGUGGCACGGUGCUCCUCGCCGAUCAAAACUGGAGCUCGUCAUAUCUGGUCAAUAUCGAAACUGGGCGCGUACUGGAGGAGAUGACGGAACGAGGUAUUCUUUCCUUCCUCUUCUUUUUGCUCAGGAGAGCACUUGUAGUAGAGGCAUGUUCACCCUUAGACGGUAUCUCAGUUGAGGAUGACUUGGUUUGUGGGAUGGAGAGGAAGAAAGGAGCAAAGGACAAUGAGGAGAGCUCCAAGGGCAACAGCAACACCAAUGCCUGA
rnacentral:rRNA from 1 species